rnacentral:rRNA from 1 species
UACGUAGGGGGCAAGCGUUGUCCGGAUUUACUGGGCGUAAAGAGCGUGUAGGCGGCCAAACAGGUCCGUUGUGAAAACUGGAGGCUCAACCUCCCAGACGUCGACGGAAACCGUCUGGCUAGAGUCCGGAAGAGGAGAGUGGAAUUCCGUGGUGUAGCGGUGAAAUGCGCAGAUAUCAGGAAGAACACCGAUGGCGAAGGCAGCUCUCUGGGACGGUACUGACGCUGAGACGCGAAAGCGUGGGGAGCGAACAGG